rnacentral:tRNA from 5 species
GGGCAAAUUCCAGAGUGGCCAAAUGGGGCAGACUGUAAAUCUGCUGGCUUUCGCCUUCGGUGGUUCGAAUCCAUCUUUGCCCA